CCGAGACUUACCUUUUCCAUCCACCUCCUCAAGUUGUUGUCCCGUUUUACUGAGGCCAGCUGUGAGACAGUGUUACCAACUUGUUUUUGAGCAAUUCCAGGGUCUCUUCACAGUUGAACACCUCGUCUGAAUACCGUAGACGUUACCUCUUCUCGACGUGGAGUAGCAGUGACUCUACUCCCAGAUGACCGUGCUAAGUGACUUUGCCACUCUUUCUGAGUGCUGUUCGCCACACCUGCUCUUGUUUAGUGAUCAGGGGAUUCGGCCGCUUCUGGUCCCUUAUAAGAACUCUUGACGAUUCAGAAGAUGACUCAACCAAUAGUUCACGCAAGGUUAGCAGCUUCACCGAGAGCCCCUCAAGUACGUCAACACGACUUCAGGUAAGGACGCUCCUUUCAACCGCCGCUCAAAAUUCUAAUUUGCCGCAAUGAAACGGAUCUGCACUGCAAAAAGUCAGUGUUCAAAAACAAGAAAAAAAAUACAAAAAUAAGGGGUAUUUUAUUUGUAUUUUAUUUUGAACUAAGCAAAAUUUGGCUUGUCAAGACUUUCCAAAACAAGUAAAAUUAGCUAACCUCAAUGAACCCAAAAAUACCUUAAAAUAAGUAUAUUCUCACUAAUAAC